CCUGGUUGAUUCUGCCAGUAGUCAUAUGCUUGUCUCAAAGAUUAAGCCAUGCAUGUCUAAGUAUAAGCAAUCAUACUGUGAAACUGCGAAUGGCUCAUUAAAUCAGUUAUCGUUUAUUUGAUAGUACCUUUACCUGGAUAACCGUGGUAAUUCUAGAGCUAAUACAUGCUAAAAACCUCGACUUCGGAAGGGGUGUAUUUAUUAGAUAAAAAACCAAUGCCCUUCGGGGCUCCUUGGUGAUUCAUAAUAACUUAACGAAUCGCAUGGCCUUGCGCCGGCGAUGGUUCAUUCAAAUUUCUGCCCUAUCAACUUUCGAUGGUAGGAUAGUGGCCUACCAUGGUCUUAACGGGUAACGGGGAAUUAGGGUUCUAUUCCGGAGAGGGAGCCUGAGAAACGGCUACCACAUCCAAGGAAGGCAGCAGGCGCGCAAAUUACCCAAUCCCAGUUCGGGGAGGUAGUGACAAUAAAUACUGAUACGGGGCUCUUUCGGGUCUCGUAAUUGGAAUGAGUACAAUCUAAAUCCCUUAACGAGGAACAAUUGGAGGGCAAGUCUGGUGCCAGCAGCCGCGGUAAUUCCAGCUCCAAUAGCGUAUAUUAAAGUUGUUGCCGUUAAAAAGCUCGUAGUUGAACCUUGGACCUGGCUGAUCUGUCCUCCUAAUCGAGCGCACGGAUUCGGUCGGGUCUUUCCUUCUGGGGAGCCCUAUGCCCUUCACUGGGUGUAGUGGGGAACCAGGACUUUUACCUUGAAAAAAUUAGAGUGUUCAAAGCAGGCCUUUGCUCGAAUACAUUAGCAUGGAAUAAUAGAAUAGGACAUCGGUUCUAUUUUGUUGGUUUCUAGGACCGCUGUAAUGAUUAAUAGGGAUAGUCGGGGGCGUCAGUAUUCAAUUGUCAGAGGUGAAAAUCUUGGAUUUAUUGAAGACUAACUACUGCGAAAGCAUUCGCCAAGGAUGUUUUCAUUAAUCAGUGAACGAAAGUUAGGGGAUCGAAGACGAUCAGAUACCGUCGUAGUCUUAACCAUAAACUAUGCCGACUAGGGAUCGGACGGUGGUUUUUUUAUGCCCCGUUCGGCACCUUACGAGAAAUCAAAGUUUUUGGGCUCGGGGGGGAGUAUGGUCGCAAGGCUGAAACUUAAAGAAAUUGACGGAAGGGCACCACCAGGCGUGGAGCCUGCGGCUUAAUUUGACCCAACACGGGGAAACUCACCAGGUCCAGACAUGCUUAGGAUUGACAGAUUGAUAGCUCUUUCUUGAUUGUAUGGGUGGUGGUGCAUGGCCGUUCUUAGUUGGUGGAGUGAUUUGUCUGCUUAAUUGCGAUAACGAACGAGACCUUGACCUGCUAAAC
rnacentral:rRNA from 1 species